rnacentral:rRNA from 1 species
GUCGUAACAAGGUUUCCGUAGGUGAACCUGCGGAAGGAUCAUUCGCACGCAUCCAAACUGCAUCACCGUGAACCAAUUGUGUGAGUUUGUGGGUGGGGGCAGAGAUCGUAUCGAAACCUCCAUGCAGAAACUCGAGGGCGGCGGGCCAGGGAGGGCGUCUUUGAGCACACUUGUGUGACUCUCUGGCGUGGCUCUCUGCGCUCGUCGCCGCUGCUUACCUGUACCAGGAUCUUGCUCCUGCAUUUGUUCUCAAGUGGAUUUCCACUUUACUUUACUUACAACUUUCAGCGACGGAUGUCUCGGCUCGAACAACGAUGAAGGGCGCAGCGAAGUGUGAUAAGCAUUGUGAAUUGCAGAAUUCCGUGAACCAAUAGGGAUUUGAACGUACACUGCGCUUUCGGGAUAUCCCUGAAAGCAUGCCUGCUUCAGUGUCUACUCCAUCUAAUGCCAGCUUCCAAAUCCUCCCUGCGGGGGUUGGUAGCUUGAGCGUAUCUGUGUGUUAGGGCGUGGCUUUCCACCCUUGACGCAUUUAAUGCAUGGGGAGUCUUCACAUCGCACAACUUGCAAAGCACCUCGAUGCCUUCUGUUGCUGCGGUCUGUGGAGAGAACCCUUCCCUUCCUAGUCCAUUCGGGACUUCUUCCAAGACAUGAAGUUAGGUCAGCAAACCCGCUGAAUUUAAGCAUAUAAGUAAGCGGAGGAUAAGAAACUAAAUAGGAUUCCCUCAGUAAUGGCGAAUGAACAGGGAUAAGCUCAGCAUGGAAAUCGGUGUCUCUGGCAUUGAAUUGUAGUCUCGAGAUGUACUGCCAACGGAGGCGCAGAUGUAAGCCUCUUGGAAAAGAGCAUCAACGAGGGUGAGAGUCCCGUUUGUCAUCUGCAGUCCCCCGUGCACGGCGUACUUCUAAAGAGUCACGUUCCUCGGAAAUGGAGCGCAAAGUGGGUGGUAAAUUUCAUCUAAAGCUAAAUAUAGGUUCGAGACCGAUAGCAAACAAGUACCAUGAGGGAAAGGUGAAAAGGACUUUGAAAAGAGAGUUAAAAGUGCCUGAAAUUGCUGAAAGGGAAGCGAAUGGAACCAGUGUUUCUUGGCAAGAUUGGUGCGUGCUAUUGGGAUUGCCUGCUGCUUCAGCGCAAGCGUGGUAGUGGGUUUUGAUCAUGACGUGCGUGUUGUUUCUUGCCUUGUGUGUCAACGUCAGUUCUCAAUCGAGGAAAACGCCUUGGACAUGGUAACCUGUCUCCGGGUGGGUGAAUGUGCUUGGUUGAACUCAUUUGUGAACUGGUUCUUGCGUGUCUGGUUGCAGUGCUCUGUGUCCUCGCACCCCUGUGGGGGGUCUCGACCUUCUGCGGGUGGGGUGGGCGACCGGUGUAUCUCCCUGACACAACGACGCUGACUAAAUGGUUCUAUUCGACCCGUCUUGAAACACGGACCAAGGAGUCUAACAUAUGUGCGAGUUCACGGGCGGGUAAACCUGCUUGCGCAAUGAAAGUGACUGCUGGGAUCUUUGCACCAGCAACCGACCAAUCAAUUGAGAGAGGUUUGAGUAUGAGCAUAUCUGUUAGGACCCGAAAGAUGGUGAACUAUGCGUGA